rnacentral:rRNA from 1 species
UACGAAGGGGGCUAGCGUUGCUCGGAAUCACUGGGCGUAAAGGGUGCGUAGGCGGGUCUUUAAGUCAGGGGUGAAAUCCUGGAGCUCAACUCCAGAACUGCCUUUGAUACUGAAGAUCUUGAGUUCGGGAGAGGUGAGUGGAACUGCGAGUGUAGAGGUGAAAUUCGUAGAUAUUCGCAAGAACACCAGUGGCGAAGGCGGCUCACUGGCCCGAUACUGACGCUGAGGCACGAAAGCGUGGGGAGC